rnacentral:snRNA from 1 species
GGAUGUGAGGGUGAUCUGGCUGUGACAUCUGUCACACCACUGAUGGCCAGAGUUGAUCUGGUUGGCUGGGCAGGUGUCCCCUUCCUCCCUCACUGCUCCAUGUGCACCCACCGGAAGCAGCGAUCUUGGUGGAAGAGGACGACCUUCCCCGAUAGAGGACCAUUCUUCCAUCAAGGGUAUACAAGGCCGGGCAUGGUGGCUCACGCCUGUAAUCCCAGCACUCUGGGAGGCCAAGGCGGGCAGAUCAUUUGAG